rnacentral:rRNA from 1 species
GAUGAACGCUAGCGGCAGGCCUAACACAUGCAAGUCGGGGGGUAGAAGCUUUCGGGCUUUGGGACCGGCGCACGGGUGCGUAACGCGUAUGCAAUCUGCCUUGUACUGAGGGAUAGCCCAGAGAAAUUUGGAUUAACACCUCAUAGUAUUUUAGUGUGGCAUCACAUUAUUAUUAAAGGUUACGGUACAAGAUGAGCAUGCGUCCCAUUAGCUAGUUGGUAUGGUAACGGCAUACCAAGGCUACGAUGGGUAGGGGUCCUGAGAGGGAGAUCCCCCACACUGGUACUGAGACACGGACCAGACUCCUACGGGAGGCAGCAGUGAGGAAUAUUGGUCAAUGGUCGCAAGACUGAACCAGCCAUGCCGCGUGCAGGAUGAAGCAUCUAUGGUGUGUAAACUGCUUUUGUACGGGAAGAAACACCGCUACGUGUAGCGGCUUGACGGUACCGUAAGAACAAGGAUCGGCUAACUCCGUGCCAGCCGCCGCCGUAA